rnacentral:rRNA from 1 species
UGGGGAAUCUUGGACAAUGGGGGCAACCCUGAUCCAGCCAUGCCGCGUGAGUGAUGAAGGCCUUAGGGUCGUAAAGCUCUUUCGCCUGUGAAGAUAAUGACGGUAGCAGGUAAAGAAACCCCGGCUAACUCCGUGCCAGCAGCCGCGGUAAUACGGAGGGGGUUAGCGUUGUUCGGAAUUACUGGGCGUAAAGCGCACGUAGGCGGACCAGAAAGUUGGGGGUGAAAUCCCGGGGGCUCAACCCCGGAACUGCCUCCAAAACUAUUGGUCUAGAGUUCGAGAGAGGUGAGUGGAAUUCCAAGUGUAGAGGUGAAAUUCGUAGAUAUUUGGAGGAACACCAGUGGCGAAGGCGGCUCACUGGCUCGAUACUGACGCUGAGGUGCGAAAAGUGUGGGGAGCAAACAGGAUUAGAUACCCUGGUAGUCCACACCGUAAAACGAUGAAUGCCAGUCGUCGGGGUAGCAUGCUAUUCGGUGACACACCUAACGGAUUAAGCAUUCCGCCUGGGGAGUACGGUCGCAAGAUU